rnacentral:rRNA from 1 species
UACGGAGGGUGCAAGCGUUAUCCGGAUUCACUGGGUUUAAAGGGUGCGUAGGUGGGCAGGUAAGUCAGUGGUGAAAUCUCCGGGCUUAACUCGGAGACUGCCAUUGAUACUAUCUUUCUUGAAUACCGUGGAGGUCAGCGGAAUAUGUCAUGUAGCGGUGAAAUGCUUAGAUAUCUGCAGGAACACCCGUGGCGAAAGCGGCGCGCUGGACCACUACUGACGCUGAGGAACGAAAGCUAGGGGAGCAAACAGG